GACGAGCUCUCCAAACGUUAUUCGGUAUCACUGGGCUUAAAGAGUUCGUAGGCGGUCUGGUAGGUGAGGUGUGAAAUCCCUGGGCUCAACCCAGGAACUGCGUCCGAUACUGGUUGGCUUGAAUCCGGGAGAGGGAUGUGGAAUUCCAGGUGUAGCGGUGAAAUGCGUAGAUAUCUGGAGGAACACCGGUGGCGAAGGCGACAUCCUGGACCGGCAUUGACGCUGAGGCGCGAAAGCCAGGGGAGCAAACGGG
rnacentral:rRNA from 1 species